ensembl:snRNA U1 U1 spliceosomal RNA
AUAAUUACCUGGCAGGGAAACACCAUGAUCAGGCAGGUGGUUCUCCAAGGGCGAGGCCUGGCCAUUGCACUGUGGCUGUGCUGACCCCUGCGAUUUCCCCACAUGCGGGAAACUCGACUGCAGAAUUUGUGGUAGUGGGGGACUGCAUGCACGCUCUCCCCUG